rnacentral:rRNA from 1 species
AUUGAACUCUGGCGGCAGGCCUCACACAUGCAAGUCGAACGAGUGGCAGACGGGUGAGUAAUGUCUGGGAAACUGCCUGAUGGAGGGGGAUAACUACUGGAAACGGUAGCUAAUACCGCAUACCAUCGGAUGUUCCCAGAUAGGAUUAGCUAGUAGGUGGGGUAAAGGCUCACCUGGGCGACGAUCCCUAGCAGGUCUGAGAGGAUGACCAGCCACACUGGAACUGCGACACGGUGCAGAAUCCUACGGGGGGCAGCAGUGGGGAAUAUUGCACAAUGGGCGCAAGCCUGAUGCAGCCAUGCCGCGUGUAUGAAGAAGGCCUUCGGGUUGUAAAGUACUUUCAGCGGGGAGGCGUUACCCGCAGAAGAAGCACCGGCUAACUCCGUGCCAGCAGCCGCGGUAAUUC